rnacentral:rRNA from 1 species
UACCAGCACCCCGAGUGGUCGGGACGUUUAUUGGGCCUAAAGCAUCCGUAGCCGGUUCUACAAGUCUUCCGUUAAAUCCAACUGCUUAACAGGUGGGCUGCGGAAGAUACUAUAGAGCUAGGAGGCGGGAGAGGCAAGCGGUACUCGAUGGGUAGGGGUAAAAUCCGUUGAUCCAUUGAAGACCACCAGUGGCGAAGGCGGCCUGCUGGGCAGUAGCUGACGCUGAGGCGCGACAGCGUGGGGAGCAAACAGG